rnacentral:ncRNA from 1 species
GUAAAUACGGUGAAGAGGAUUAGUAGAGAUAUGAAAGCUUUUAGAGAGCUGUUAGUUGGUGAAAAACAGUAGCGAGUAUUAUUUCGAACCUACCUUGGAGGAUGUUGCAAAAACAACACGCAUUCCUGCGUUAAAGGGAAAAUGAGGAAACGAAAAUAGAAAAUUAAAAAAUUUCAAUUUUCAACUUAAAUUUGAGUGGUACCACGGGAAAACCCGUCUCAUGU